GUCCGUUGCCGCUCUUCCUUGUAGAAUCGGAGCUCCUCCUUGACGUCCGUUGCUGCUCGAUGGAGAACAUGCUCGCCGAGAUGAACAUGGUAUGCAAGUUCAAGAAGUAUGGAUUUGAAAAAUCAUAUUGAAUUUGACAAGAUAAACCAUCUAGAUGAAGGAAGCAUCAUUCUUAAACCACUAUAAGGAUACAUACUAUAUAUGACACAUAUGACAUACUUAUUUUUUCCUCAUAAUUAAUAUUAAAAUUCUCUCCAUUCUACCUCAUAUUUACUCUCCAUUCUCGCUCACAUUCUAGCUCAAAAUCCUCUCUAUUUUCUAUGUCACAUUCUAGCAAAUAAACUAUCCAUCUCCAUUCUACACAUCCAGUUGUUUUAACUAAUACGAAUCGUAUAUAACAAGCAAACUAUCCAUCACAUUCUAGCUCAAAAACAUGUAUAAAUACAAAUCCUCUUCAUUCCCCC
rnacentral:lncRNA from 1 species